GAUGAAGAACGUAGCGAAAUGCGAUAAGUAGUGUGAAUUGCAGAUUUCAGUGAAUCAUCGAAUCUUUGAACGCACAUUGCGCCCCUUGGUAUUCCAUGGGGCAUGCCUGUUCGAGCGUCAUUUGUACCUUCAAGCUUUGCUUGGUGUUGGGUGUUUGUCUCGCCUCCGCGUGUAGACUCGCCUCAAAACAAUUGGCAGCCGGCGUAUUGAUUUCGGAGCGCAGUACAUCUCGCGCUUUGCACUCACAACGACGACGUCCAAAAGUACAUUUUUACACUCUUGACCUCGGAUCAGGUAGGGAUACCCGCUGAACUUAAGCAUAUCAAAAGCGGAGGA
rnacentral:misc_RNA from 1 species